rnacentral:rRNA from 1 species
GUAUGACUCUCGGCAAUGGAUAUCUUGGCUCUUGCAUCGAUGAAGAGCGCAACGAAAUGUGAUACGUGGUGUGAAUUGCAGAAUCCCGUGAACCAUCGAGUUUUUGAACGCAAGUUGCGCCCGAGGCCAAUUGGCUAAGGGCACGUCCGCCUGGGCGUCAAGC